rnacentral:rRNA from 1 species
GAUCCUGGCUCAGGAUGAACGCUAGCGACAGGCUUAACACAUGCAAGUCGAGGGGCAGCGGGGGUAGCGAUACCCGCCGGCGACCGGCGCACGGGUGAGUAACGCGUAUGCAACUUGCCUAUCAGAGGGGGAUAACCCGGCGAAAGCCGGACUAAUACCGCAUGAAGCAGGGAUCCCGCAUGGGAAUAUUUGCUAAAGAUUUAUCGCUGAUAGAUAGGCAUGCGUUCCAUUAGGCAGG